rnacentral:sRNA from 1 species
UUUCAUUUCAUCUUUCACACUUUUCAGUUGCAUACGGCAAUAUGGCAUGAACCCAUGAGACAGCCAAAAAUCAUAUAUAUCAAAGUUGACCAAGUCUCUUCCACAAUUUGACACAUCAGCACAUGAGAGCUUAUUACCUAUAUUUCAUAA